rnacentral:rRNA from 1 species
UACGUAGGGUGCGAGCGUUAAUCGGAAUUACUGGGCGUAAAGCGUGCGCAGGCGGUUUGUUAAGACAGAUGUGAAAUCCCCGGGCUUAACCUGGGAACUGCAUUUGUGACUGGCAAGCUAGAGUAUGGCAGAGGGGGGUAGAAUUCCACGUGUAGCAGUGAAAUGCGUAGAGAUGUGGAGGAACACCGAUGGCGAAGGCCGCCUCCUGGGAUGACACUGACGCUCAUACACGAAAGCGUGGGGAGCAAACAGG